UACAGAGGGUGCAAACGUUGCUCGGAAUUACUGGGCGUAAAGCGCGUGUAGGCUGACCGGGAAGUCGGGCGUGAAAGCCCUGGGCUCAACCCAGGAACUGCACUCGAAACUCCCGGUCUAGAGUGGUGGAGAGGGAAGUGGAAUUCCUGGUGUAGAGGUGAAAUUCGUAGAUAUCAGGAGGAACACCAGUGGCGAAGGCGGCUUCCUGGACAACAACUGACGCUGAGACGCGAAAGCGUGGGGAGCAAACAGG
rnacentral:rRNA from 1 species